AAAGCUCAGUAACACGUGGCUAACCUGUCCUCGGGAGGGGGAUAACACCGGGAAACUGGUGCUAAUCCCCCAUGGGGGAGGAGGCCUGGAAGGGUUCCUCUCCGAAAGGGCGUAGCGGGGGUUAUCGCCGCUACGCCGCCCGAGGGUGGGGCUACGGCCCAUUAGGUUGUUGGCGGGGUAACGGCCCGCCAAGCCGAUAAUGGGUAGGGGCCGUGAGAGCGGGAGCCCCCAGAUGGGCACUGAGACAAGGGCCCAGGCCCUACGGGGCGCACCAGGCGCGAAAACUCCGCAAUGCGGGAAACCGUGACGGGGUCACCCCGAGUGCCCCCGAUAAGGGGGCUUUUCCCCGCUGUAGGAAGGCGGGGGAAUAAGCGGGGGGCAAGUCUGGUGUCAGCCGCCGCGGUAAUACCAGCCCCGCGAGUGGUCGGGACGAUUAUUGGGCCUAAAGCGCCCGUAGCCGGCCCGGCAAGUCCCCUCCUAAAACCUCGGGCUCAACCCGAGGGGUGGGGGGGAUACUGCCGGGCUAGGGGGCGGGAGAGGCCGAGGGUACUCCCGGGGUAGGGGCGAAAUCCUAUAAUCCCGGGAGGACCACCAGUGGCGAAGGCGCUCGGCUGGAACGCGCCCGACGGUGAGGGGCGAAAGCCGGGGGAGCGAACCGGAUUAGAUACCCGGGUAGUCCCGGCUGUAAACUAUGCGGGCUAGGUGUUGGGUGGGCUUAGAGCCCACCCAGUGCCGCAGGGAAGCCGUUAAGCCCGCCGCCUGGGGAGUACGGCCGCAAGGCUGAAACUCAAAGGAAUUGGCGGGGGAGCAC
rnacentral:rRNA from 1 species